rnacentral:lncRNA from 1 species
AUAGAGUUGAACAAAUCUGAGAGACUCUUGAUGUUGGAGACAACACCGAAGACCCUAAGGUUCUCGAUAUUGCUUGAUAGGGCGGUUCUCGAUAUUGCUUGAUAGGGUGUGGUGAAGCAUCGCUCUGCAUGCAAGCGCUUCUACCAUUAGAGAGGAGCUGACAUAUUCAUGAACCUCUGAGGCCUUCCCUAUCUGUCAUGUCUGGUUGUAGAAGAUCCAUCCGAGACCAGCCUUUAGAGAGUCCUUGUUCCACGCUGCGUCCGAAUGACCUCUGGUAAGGCGUUGGGUCUCUAUCUGUUGAUUUCUCAUCCCUUGUGUAUGUAGAAAAGAAUUUGUGAUAUGCUUAGUUGUCACUUGUGCAGAGAUCCAUUCCCGAGUGAAGUUAUGCUUUGGAGGAUUGUUUCCUCUGGCGUGAAAUCCAUGUUUUCAAAGAGGAGUUGAUUCCUUGAGAUCCACAAUUGCCAGCAGACCCAUGGGAGGAAGUUCUCCGAGAUCCCAGUGGGGGUAAGCAGGUUGGGUCUCGAGAGGCCACCAGAGCUCUUUCAAAGUUGACUUGUGCCGCUAGGUGAGCUGCGUUAUUAACCGGAGCCAAUCUCUAAACUUUUUGUGCGUACGCACAGUUGAAGAAGAUGUGCAUAACUGAUUCUGUUGCUCCGCAUUUUUGACAGGAAAUGUUCGUGGUGAAGCCUCGUCUCUGUAGUUUCUCACCAAUGGACAGAGCCCGUUGAAUGAUCGACUAGAUAAAUACCUUAAGUCUAAGGGAAAAAGCUCCGGACCCAACGUCUUUGUACCAGUUCAUGUUGAUGGGAGUAUUCACGGUGUGGCUUGAUGUCACGGCUGAGUGGUAUCCGGACUUUACAGAGUAAAUUUCAGAUUUAAGUGGUUACCAGAUGAAGGCAUCUUCCACUCCCUCUUUAUUGGCCCGCAUGCAUUGAAUCUUCUCAGACAUGCUAGGUAAUAAUUUCACUAUUCUCACCGUGUUCCAUUUUAGAUCAGAAGUGAGGAGGUCUGAUACUCUAAGGUCACUGGAAUCCUCUGUAAUAGGUCCAUAGGAUCUAACAUUGCUUAAUAGGGAGAUCCAAGAAUUGUGCCAAAUCUUUGUAUUAACUCCAUUUCCGAUGGCUUUUCCAAGGUGGUCGCGCAUGAGGUCUAUUCCCUUGAUAAUUCCUCUUCAUCCAUGGGAUCAUGAAGCUGACGCCUCGAUGUCCAGAAUGGAGCUGGUGUGGCAAUAUUUACCCAACAAGGUUCGUGCCAGGAGACAAUUCAGAGAAGUAAUCAUGCACCAUGCAAUCUCUGCGAGGAGAGCUUGAUUGAAGGUUUGAAUCUCUCUUAAUCUCAAUCCUCCGUCAGCUUUAGGAAAGAUCAGUCCACGAAACGUAACAUAGUUUUUUCUUCUCAUCAUUUCCAUCCCACCAGAAUCUGGUGAGAGCAGAUUGUAUAUGUUUGCAUAGAUCGACAUGGAUUAGGAAGCAUGACAUAUAGUAUGUAGGGACAGCGGUUAUGACUGAUUUAACCCUUGUCAUUUUUCAUGCUUUUGAUAUGUGGCAAGUGGACCAGCUAGCAGCUCGUUGCUUAAUUCGAUCAACCACUGAGGUAAAAAGAUCAUUCUUCCUUCUCCCAAAAUGUUCUGGUAGUCCCAGAUAUUUCCCUGGCCCUCCUUCUUUUUGAAUAUCUAGGAUCUGUUUCAUAGAAUCUUUUAUAGUGAUGGGUGUCUUAGAGCUGAAUGUGAUUGAUGACUUGUUGUUGUUGAUUUCUGACCAGAGGCAACUUCGUAUUCCUGGAGGAUAUCCUUGAGUGUUUUCACAAAAGUUGGAGUAGCAUAGUAUAAAAACAUUGUGUCGUCAACAAACAACAAAUGAUUUAUUCGGUGUGAUCUCAUGGCUACUUUGACCCUGACAACAAACUGUUUCUCUCCGUCAGCUUACAUAAACCGAUAAGUACCUCACCGAAUAGGAUAAAUAUAUAAGGAGACAUGGGAUCUCCCUGUUUGAUACCUCUACGUGGAGAAACUGAUCUGCAGGCAGCUUCAUUAAUUAGGUAGGAGUAGGUUACAGUAGUGAUACAUUGCAUAGUUAGGUCGAUCCAUUUCUGAUCAAAACCCAAUCUCUGUAAAAUUUAUUUCAUGAAUUCUCGUUUCAAACAGUCAUAGAUCUUACUAAUGUCAGUUUUGACUGUCAUGGGACACUUCUUUUCUGCUGUUGAAAUUUUGAAGUAGUGUAAGACUUUGUGGGUAAUGAGAACAUUAUCACUUAUGGCUCUUCAUGGGAUAAAUGCUGAUUGGUCUUGAGAGAUAAUCGAGUGUAGGACAGGUUUGAGACGGAGAGCUAGCAACUUAGAGAUAAUCUUGUGAUAAACAUGUUUUAAGACAUAUACUAACUUUCAACUUCUUUUUUUCCCGACAAGCUCAAUAUGGGCUAUAACAAGUUUACAUCCUUAAUUAGCUUUAGAGCCGAGUUCACCGUGCCACGAGGCCGG